rnacentral:lncRNA from 1 species
AGAUCAUUUACCAAAGAAGUAGUGAUUCGUUUCCCCAACAAACUCAACUGGUCUAACAUGGUUUCUGCAUCUCGAAGUGAUCCAUCUGCGUUCAAGGCAAUCAAAUCUAAUGCUUCUGACUCCACAUCCAAAUCCUCAUCCGAAGAAAUCUUCUUCAAUCUGAGCACAGGCAAUCAAAUCUAAUGCUUCUGAGUCCACAUCCAAAUCCUCAUCCAAAGAAAUCUUCUUCAAUCUGAGCACAAUAUCACCAUCCCUGAUUUUAUUGAAGAGGUACUUCUGGCAUCGAGACAAUACAGCACGCGGCACAUU